ensembl:lncRNA
GAAAGAGGGAGCCAAGACUGGCCCAGCCAGGGUGGCGAGUGCUUCCUGUAAGACUAGGAUAGCAUGGAGAGUGGUUCUUGGAAUCGUAAUCUCACUUGGCUCUCACUUUAUCUUCUUCAGAAAAUACCUCAUGAAACCCCCAUUGUGGAGACCCAGAAGUUGGAAAGCACUAGGAGUUAUGGGUCAGGAGCGCUAUCAGCAAUGGCUUCAGGUCACCCUUCCCUUUCAAGCCCUUCUCCGUUACUAAUGUAUUGGCUGAAAUACAUUCCUCUCCAUGAACUUGUUCCUAACAUAAGGAUAUGGAAUUUGGAAAAACCAAAAGACCUAUCUAUUUGGGAUGAAAAUGCAUUAGACUCGUGUUUGGAGAGUUACUCAGAGUUAAGCAAUAAGGUGAUGAUACCCAGGGAAAAGCAUUUCCUCCUGAUGGAAAUGCUGCCUUCAGAACCUGCGUACCAGUACUGUUGCAGACUCUUCUUUUGUUCCAUGAACUGCAAGGAGUCGGCAAUAUUGAGGAUCUUCCGGCUCUACAACCCCAAGCUGUGGAAGAAGUACAAAAGGGUCAGCUAUGCCAAUGUUGAUCGAGUCCAUGUUCACGCUCCAAUCCAGGAUCAUGUCAGAUUGCUUCCUCCAUCAAUAUUCCCAGGUGGCCAAGAAGUGCCAGAAGAAGGUAUAGAACUGGAGAGAAUCAGGCAAUUUCAAAUUGAUGCCAUAUGUUGACUAGAAAAAACACAGAACUAUUAAAUAGUCAAAAAUCACUCUUUAAUCAAGGGAAAAUACGACAACAGAGCGGCUUCCCAAGACUGCACAGAGUCGAGACACCCUGGUCACUGACCCCUGGGAGUGCCAGGGACUCAGGAUGGGUUCUCGGCCCCUUCCAACUCUUGAGAGUCUUCGGUUCUGUGUCCUAGGGGAGGGGUUAGGAAAGACAGAGAUAACAAGUUCAUGGGAUGCCUCUCCUACCUUGACCCCCUCAGUCAAAAGGCAGAGAUGGUGGCUCGCAUGGCUUCCUUCCCUCCGGAGUGUCAUCUCUUUCACGAAACUGCCAUGAGCCUGGAGCAGCUGGCAGCCCAUGGCCUAAAAUCCAAGUUAAGCAGCUACAACGGCAUCUUGGGUUAUGGAACCUACUUUUCCUUGCGUGCUGAAACUGCCUCUUUAAUGAACUGGUCUCACAAAACUGGUUUGGGGCAUAUCAUGGUGCUAGCUAAAGUGUUAGUUGGAGAAAUGACCAUGGGGCAGCCAGGCCUUCUGUCUCCACCCCUUAAGCCAGAUGGCCAGCAGUUUGAUUCUUGUGUGAACAACACUGAUAUGCCAACAUUUUUUGCUGUGUUCAAAAAAAAGCAGAGCUACCCCAACUUCAUCAUCGUGUACAAACAUGCCAAGGACCCAUUUAGUUUGACUUCUUGAGAGGGGCUCUGAGGAAUUGGUCAUCUCCCUCUUCCCCCAACACAAACUAUGAAUGACCCUGGCUCUUUGGCCUUUUUUUUGGCUCCAGUGGAGUCCCAUACUUUACUCUGAGGCCAUGCUCAAGUAUUUCCCUACUUCUCUACCUAAUGACUCAUUUCUUCUUUCUCUUGAUAUACUUCUUCCUUACUCUUUUUUCUUCUAUUGAUUGCUAGUCUAAUGUAGCCUCCAACCAGGAUCCAACAAGUAGAGUUUGGGUUAGGUAGUAAGACUCUUGAGCCUGAGUUGUGUUGCUUUGUGAUGCUCCCAGAUUUUA